rnacentral:rRNA from 1 species
AUUGAUCGCUGGCGGCAGGCUUAACACAUGCAAGUCGAGCGGGGGAAGGUAGCUUGCUACCGGACCUAGCGGCGGACGGGUGAGUAAUGCUUAGGAAUCUGCCUAUUAGUGGGGGACAACAUCUCGAAAGGGAUGCUAAUACCGCAUACGUCCUACGGGAGAAAGCAGGGGAUCUUCGGACCUUGCGCUAAUAGAUGAGCCUAAGUCGGAUUAGCUAGUUGGUGGGGUAAAGGCCUACCAAGGCGACGAUCUGUAGCGGGUCUGAGAGGAUGAUCCGCCACACUGGGACUGAGACACGGCCCAGACUCCUACGGGAGGCAGCAGUGGGGAAUAUUGGAAAAUGGGGGGAACCCUGAUCCAGCCAUGCCGCGUGUGUGAAGAAGGCCUUAUGGUUGUAAAGCACUUUAAGCGAGGAGGAGGCUACUUUAGUUAAUACCUAGAGAUAGUGGACGUUACUCGCAGAAUAAGCACCGGCUAACUCUGUGCCAGCCGCCGCAGUAA